UACGGAGGGUGCGAGCGUUGUCCGGAAUCAUUGGGCGUAAAGCGCGUGUAGGCGGCUCGGUAAGUCCGCUGUGAAAGUCGGGGGCUCAACCCUCGGAUGCCGGUGGAUACUGUCGGGCUAGAGUACGGAAGAGGCGAGUGGAAUUCCUGGUGUAGCGGUGAAAUGCGCAGAUAUCAGGAGGAACACCAAUUGCGAAGGCAGCUCGCUGGGACGUUACUGACGCUGAGACGCGAAAGCGUGGGGAGCAAACAGG
rnacentral:rRNA from 1 species